GACGGAGGGUGCUAGCGUUGUUCGGAAUUACUGGGCGUAAAGGGCGCGUAGGCGGUUUAUUGAGUCAUGUGUUAAAGACCUGGGCUUAACCUAGGGGGUGCAUGUGAUACUGGUAGACUAGAGUGCAGGAGAGGGAAGUGGAAUUCUCGGUGUAGAGGUGAAAUUCGUAGAGAUCGGGAGGAAUAUCCGUGGCGAAGGCGGCUUUCUGGACUGCAACUGACGCUGAGGCGCGAAAGCGUGGGGAGCAAACAGG
rnacentral:rRNA from 1 species